rnacentral:lncRNA from 1 species
AUUUAAUGAAGGCAGAGACUUGGAUGUCUCCAGACAGUGUCAGAAUACUUUAAACAGACCAUUAGCAUGGCUUCUUCUACUUCAAACAGAGCACACUAUACCAUAACAUUAUAAAAAUACAAAGUAUGAAACAAAUAAUCUGUUUAUACAGAUAUUUUAAGCUGUUUUCACCAGCUCUGACAUCCCCUGUAUUUAGUAACAGAAACUUACUCAUUUCAGAUUACUCGCGCUUAAAAAAUGUUAAAUACAGUUAAUGCAAUAUUAAUCGCCCUUUGGUGAUAUAAAAUGCAAUAUUUUCAGGCAGCUAUUGAGCUUUUCUAGAGGAAGAGCUGAUGAAAACAGUCACAGCUGAAUAGUGGAGAGAAAAAAGCUCUGUAUUUAUUGCUUUUGUUUGGCUUUUGGCUACAGAGACAGGAACAUUCUAAUGGGAUCAGAGAGUAUUUCUGAGGUCCUGAAUGCGGUGGUGACGAUUUGGUGUGGCAUUUCCUCCUUGCUGAGGUUUGGCAAGAAACCCUGUGACCACUGGUUGAACAGGAGCCAUGGAGAGCUACCACAGGAUUUCAAAUGCAUUUAAAUCAUGGAAUCAUAGAAUAAGAAUAUGCUGAGUUGGAAGGGAUACAUCAGGAUCAUCGAGUCCAACUCCUGUACAUUAACAGCUUUUACUUGUCCAUGUAAGUAACAUUCCUUGAUAUCACCAUUAUCACUGCUUUUGACAAGCAGUAUUCUCUGUCCCUGA